UACAGAGGUCUCAAGCGUUGUUCGGAUUCAUUGGGCGUAAAGGGUGCGUAGGCGGCGCGGUAAGUCGGGUGUGAAAUCGUCGGAGCUUAACUCCGAAACUGCAUUCGAUACUGCCGUGCUUGAGGACUGGAGAGGAGACUGGAAUUUACGGUGUAGCGGUGAAAUGCGUAGAUAUCGUAAGGAAGACCAGUGGCGAAGGCGGGUCUCUGGACAGUUCCUGACGCUGAGG
rnacentral:rRNA from 1 species